CCAUACCAACGAACACUAUUUGCAAUACGGUCGCGUAUUCGUGUGACGAGAUCGAGGUUACGCGCGUAUCCAUACACGUCCCCGUGUUCGACACUAAGCAACGCACACUAGCAUGCUGCUGAGAAACGGAGUGCCUUCCACAAAAGCAGAUGAGAAGCACAAGCAGCAGCAGCAGCAGCAGCAAGUAGCAGCCAACAGCAGGCAGUAAGGCAGCCGAAGGAAAUUGAAUUGAUAAUUCGUGUCACCGAGCAGUGCAUUUAGCCAAACAGAGAAGACGCGAGAAGGAGUUGUGGAGAGAGGGAAGAAGUGCAUACAAUAUUGAACACACACCAAUCUUCGCCACACAAAAAAAAAAAAUCAAACAGACACACCAUGGAAAAGCGCAUUUUGUUGGAGAAAAGGGGCCGCUCGGAUGAUGAGAUCACAGAACUUAUUCUGGACAACUGUCGGAGUACAUACAUCGAUGGCUUAACGGACAGCUUCACCGCACUGGAAACGCUCAGCCUGAUCAACGUCGGGUUGGUGUCGCUUAAAAAUUUCCCCAAACUAUCGAACCUCCGCAAGCUGGAACUGUCGGACAACAGAAUAUCGAACGGGCUGAGCCACCUUAUGGGCAGCCCGAAGCUAACACACCUGAACCUGUCCGGCAAUCGCAUCAAGGACUUUGAUGAGCUGCAGCCACUGAAGGAUCUGGAAAAUCUGGAGGUGUUGGACCUGUUCAACAAUCAGGUGACGCUGAUCGAAAACUAUCGCGAAAAGUUGUUUCAACUAAUUCCAUCGUUAAAUUAUCUCGAUGGAUUCGACAAAGAGUACGUGGAGGCACCUUCAGACGAGGAAGAUAUGGCUGAUGAUGAUGAUGAUGAUGGCUUCAAUCGGCAGCAACCACAACAACCUUCAUCACAGUUCUCCAUCAAUGGUAUCGAAAUUGAUCUUGACGAACUGGAGCAGUUUGAGGCGAAGAUACGCCAGAAACGAUCGAGGGAACAAUCGGGACAGCAGACGCCAGCGAAUGCAAACGGUCCUAGUGAUCGACCCGCCGACUCGAGUUCUGCUGCCGCCGGCUGCUCCUCUUCCUCUGCACAGGAUGAUGGGAAAGAUGAUCUUGAUUUGCUGUACGAAGAGAUACAACAGAAGCAGGCCCUUGCGCGUGCGAAUGAAGCGAAGGAACAGGACCGCAAAACGAUGGCUUCGUUUUUGUCGGUAUUGCUCAUGUUUACCACCCUGUUGGCGUUUGUCAAUCAGAUAUGCUACCCGGGUGGAGACAAUCAACUGCUGGACGAGCCUCAUAUUGAGGAAGCGGAUGAUGAAGAUGUGGAAGAGGUUGAGCAGAAAGAGGAGAACAAGGACGAAUGUUCCUUGAGUGGCGGUGGCGUUGGUGGCGGCGAUGACGGCUCGGUGGCGGCCGAUGAUCAUCUGUCCAUCCAGUCAGGCCAGAAUUGAAUAACGUGCAACUCGUUUCUAUCCCCAUUCACUUUCGUUCUAUGGGCUCGACAACAGAGGAGGAGGAGGCGGAAGAUUCGUGCGAAGAGUCGGAUGACGUGUCGCUAGCAUACCUGUACAACGACAACCUCGAGGAGGAUCAGGAGGAUUGGAAGAGCGUCGAGAGCGAUUACAAUAACGCGGACGAAGAGUUCGACAGCGAGGACGAGGAGGAGGAAGACGGUGCGGAGAAUAACGCCGAGGGCGAAGAGGACGGUGGAGCGGACAGUGAAGAAGAAGGCGAAGAUGAGGAAGACGGUGGUGAGGAGGAGGAGGAUGACGAUGCGGACGAUGCGGACGAGGAAGGCAAUGAGAAUGGAGCGGAAGCAGUGGCGGCGCCGGCGGCUUCGGUCACGGCGGAAGCCACGACCGAGGGAGCGAAAUCAGCCACAGCAGAGGGCGAAGCAGUUGCAACAAGUGCCGGCGGUGAUGAGGGUGAAGCUGUUACGAAAGCGGGCGAACCGGAAGCACGAGGAACGAAGAGAAAGUUCCAAGGUACGGAUAGCGACGGUUAAACAGGGACACGACGACGGGCGCGCACAUUGCAAAACGCUUCCAAAUCAAAUGCAACUCCCCAAACACACACAUACAACAACAGACAACAACAUCAUUAUUAUAAUUCAUCGUGAACUGUUUCAUCACACAACGCCUACUGCUGCUACCAAUAUCGCUACUACUGCUUUCCGGCAGUAGUGUGGUGUGUGUGGUGGGUUGGUUGGUGGUGGUGGUAGUGCAUAUUCUACAUGUUUUUGAUAUUUUUUCAUUUAAAAAUAAAAACGGCCACUACAAACUUUAAUCGAGCGAAAGCGACGACCAUUCACACAGACAUUUUCACUUCCGACACACAAGCGCUCUCACACCCUCACGACCAGAAACAUUUCAAACCAAAACGCAAACACGAUCACAAUAAGUAUUCGUAAGAGAGAUUUUUGGAACGGGGGAUGAUGGGGGUCGGUUGCAUACUACAAAACUUACAAAACAAAAUGGUAGAAGACAAAGUAUAACAAAGAAAACGAAACAACCAAGGGACGUGUUUUGCCCCGUAGCAGAAGAUGAUCAUUUGUGCGCGUGUGAGUGUGCGUGUGUGUGUGUAGGGCGCCGCAUGUACAGCAUUUCCAGUCGUUUGAGAGGAUGUAAACACCUACAACUGCGGUUUAGUUUCGUUCAAUUGUAUUAAAAAUUGUGCGAUCGGUGAGAUAGAGACGGAGAAUGGAUCCGAUCACGCACCCGUUAAAGGUUUUUAUAAGAUGAUCAAACUAUCUUGCUCGUUGCUCCAACUACAACGGCUCAUUUUUAAGCGCCAGCCAUAUUGCUUUCGUAGUUCUGUAAAGGACUACUUCAACAGACGGGGAAUAAACCGUUUCCGAGGAUGUGUGUUUCAGUCCUGGCAAGUGAUAUUUCAACAGUCGAUUAAAACCGUGUCGGAUGUUUAAACUCUCCAGUGUCGCUCAUGCGAAAGUCAUUAAUUCACCCAGAAACAACAACAUUCAGUCAGCGUGAUAAACUUAACGAAAUUUGAUUUAGUGUAACUAAUAAUUGAACACAGCACUCUUCACUUGAUUUAAAAUUAAUGGCCAACAGGUCUGGUUGGUAAACUAUCAUUCCACGAUGUUGAAACAACACUUGACGAAAACGAAAUUCACAUAUCCUCGGAAAUUCAGUUGACGUUUAAAAAUGAGGAUCAGUGCAGGCUCCGUAGCACCAUUAUUGGUCGGAAUAACAAGCACAAUUGUAAGAGUUUCCUUUGCUCCUCGGUCCUUUGUUUGUCGGUUCCUUUGCUGGAACAAUGGCAACCCUUCAGUGGUUUCAGAUGUGUCUCUGUGUGACGAAGGGCGCGGAGUGAGCGAAACCAUAAAACAAACAAAAAAAAAAGGAAUCUACACACACAUACGCACACACACAACAGCAGCACGACCUGAUUGCAGAACCCAAUAAUGUAAUGCAGUAAUGUUACUUUUAAUUUGCGAUGUAUGUUUUCCGUUUUUCUUUUUGUGUAUUGAUAAGUUUGAGGCGCAAGCAGUUGUUGAGCAGGGUGUUUUUUGUCUUGUGUGUAAGCAAAGAUAAUUAUCUCAGGCAAAAGUUCUCCCCCGAACGAACGGGGUUGAUGGGGGGAUUCAAAGCUUGUACAGCAAAAACCCCACCCCACAAAGCGUCCGCCUAACAACUGGGGGGUUACAAGCGAUCGUAAUGUUGCAGGAUAAAGUUUUAGAUUUGGAAUCAUUUCGAUUAUUAUUGAAAGAAUAUUAAAAUAGAAGCAGGAAGUCAAUCUUUUUAGUACAACGCAAUGGAGGGAUUUUUUGUCUUUGUUGUUGUCACUGUAGAGCGGAAAAAUGGUGGAGAAGAAUACAAAGAGGUGGCUCCCCUUCGUUGUAACAUGUAUUAAAUUAAUCACCCGCUCCCUAAAUUGCUAUUCUUGGUUUUUAACUUGAAUACGGUUUCGUUUGGCGGCUCCCCAAGCGAAGGAAACAUUGCGCUUGCCCGGCGGUACUCUACAGUCUUUCCUUAGCACACCGGUUAAGUUGUAGAUUUUGUAAGGCUCCAGAUUUUUAAGCAUCAAGGCAUGUAUUUUUGAGUUAAGCAAGUGUGUGUGUGCGUGAAGGAGGAAAAGGUUCAGGGAAGAAAACAGCGGUUUAUUCUGCGGGUAUUUUGUGGGUGUGUGUGUGUGUAUUGAUUUGAUGCACCAAUAGUUGCCACCUGUGUAAAAGAGCGUUAUAAGCUGUAACAAUAUAUAUUUGCUCUGCUAUUAUCUAUCCCCCUUUUUUUGUUUUGUUUUGUAAAGUUGAGAUCCUUUCAGUAAGCCAAGUUAGUGAUUCCAAAUAGAGAGUUUUUGCGAUUAUUUCAGGGCGCAAAAGUAGACCGCGAAUCACGCUAAGCCUAGGUGGCGUUGGCGUCCCCCCAUUCGUAAGCAUUUGUUAAAGAUUGUAGAACGCAACGCGGUGGGGGAGCAAGUUGACCAAAAAACCGGGGAAAGAGGAAGGUUAUUCCGACGACCCCCAAAAAAACAACUGAGAGGGGAUUACGGUUGGGAAGGAUUUAUCAAAUCAAAACUAAAUCUUUGAAAAAUAUCUAACUUUGUAAGGGUCGAUGCGCCGCGCAAGCAAUAUCGUAGUGUUUGUGUGCUGUGUCACGAGAUAAAAUUAAAAAACAAAACGAUACAAAACAGAAAAACGUGCCCUUAAUACAAUGAUGCAAACAUAUUAUACAACGGAUAAGGUGAAACACACGACGGCGGCAGCACAUUCGGCGGGUACCAUAGCGGUGGCAUUGCAUGCAGGGACGAUGGAGACGCGACUCCACACUUAUUAGAGGACGAGAUUGGUCUGUAAUGGGCUGCAUUAGAGCUCUGUAGAAGUGCUUGGGAUGAUCUUCUUCCCAGUACAACGGUGGUGUUGAUAAAUAGGUUGCCAUUGCUGUCGUGCUUGUAGUGGCCGCCGUCGAGGUAUGCUGAGGACUUGAAGACGGUGAAGAAGGUGCUGAUCAUUGCGACGAUGCUGUAGACGUGUUAAUGUUCAGUACAUACGAAACCUUUCCCAUAGGAGUAGUUUCUAACACACGCUGCUGUACCUGGACGCUGUGUUGGAAGAAGUGCCUAAAUGAUUUGUUAUCCGCAAUUGAUCCGUAGUUGAAGCCCCUGGUUCAUCAUAUCGUUGUCCACGGUUUGUGGGGUCAAUCUUCGACUGUCCAGUCGGGUCUUUGUCUUGAAUGGGCUCCUCCCAUGGAUAGAACCAACAUACAGAGCUCUAUUACCUCUUGAGACUUGAUACAGACAUCAGAAAAUGUGUCUUAAGCUGCUCUAUCUUGUAUAGCAGAAACUGUUUCAACAUUAAAAAUCUUGUCACCAAGCCAUAGAUAUGUCUUGAGGAAGUGUACUUGCCAUCAGUCGAUAACUUUGAGAAUGUGUCGGAAAAUAAUCCAGCUUUGAAAGCUUCCCAGCACUCGGUAUCCGGGAUAAGGCACGUGAACGUUUCAUCUUAACGUCUUCAGUUCUUCUGCUGCUUCAAGACGUCUACAGCAUCCUUGCGACUUCAGUACCUUCUCGUCACGACGGUGUAACAGUCCAUUAGUUAGUGUUCUGCCAACAGAGGACGGAAGGCCUUUUUGUGUUUUUCUUUAGAUUUUAAGAUUUUUGAAAGGUAGAACCUUUCGAAGGGAUAUUGGUUGACAACCCACAAAACACACAUGCAAACUUUUUUCUUCUGCGCCUGUCUUCGGCUGUGUUUCCGCAGGUGAAAUUACAACAAACAAACAAA